rnacentral:rRNA from 1 species
AUUGAACGCUGGCGGCAGGCCUAACACAUGCAAGUCGAGCGGAUGAAGGGUACUUGCUCCUGGAUUCAGCUGCGGACUGGUGAGUGAGUCCUAGGAAUCUGCCUGUUAGUUUUUUAUAACGUCCUGAAACGGGCGCUAAUACCUCAUACGUCCUUAGGGAGUAAGGGGGGGAUCUUCGGACCUCACGCUAUCAGAUGAUCCUAGGUCGGAUUAGCUAGUUGGUGGGGUAAAGGCCUACCAAGGCGACGAUCCGUAACUGGUCUGAGAGGAUGAUCAGUCACACUGGAACUGAGACACGGUCCAGACUCCUACGGGAGGCAGCAGUGGGGAAUAUUGGACAAUGGGCGAAAGCCUGAUCCAGCCAUGCCGCGUGUGUGAAGAAGGUCUUCGGAUUGUAAAGCACUUUAAGUUGGGAGGAAGGGCAGUAAGUUAAUACCUUGCUGUUUUGACGUUACCAAAAGAAUAAGCACCGGCUAACUUCGUG